AAAUUGAAGAGUUUGAUCAUGGCUCAGAUUGAACGCUGGCGGCAGGCCUAACACAUGCAAGUCGAACGGUAACAGGAAGCAGCUUGCUGCUUCGCUGACGAGUGGCGGACGGGUGAGUAAUGUCUGGGAAACUGCCUGAUGGAGGGGGAUAACUACUGGAAACGGUGGCUAAUACCGCAUAACGUCGCAAGACCAAAGAGGGGGACCUUCGGGCCUCUUGCCAUCAGAUGUGCCCAGAUGGGAUUAGCUAGUUGGUGAGGUAACGGCUCACCAAGGCGACGAUCCCUAGCUGGUCUGAGAGGAUGACCAGCCACACUGGAACUGAGACACGGUCCAGACUCCUACGGGAGGCAGCAGUGGGGAAUAUUGCACAAUGGGCGCAAGCCUGAUGCAGCCAUGCCGCGUGUAUGAAGAAGGCCUUCGGGUUGUAAAGUACUUUCAGCGGGGAGGAAGGUGUUGUGGUUAAUAACCGCAGC
rnacentral:rRNA from 3 species